AGAGCGAACGCUGGCGGCAGGCCUAAUACAUGCAAGUCGAACGGAUCCUUCGGGAUUAGUGGCGGACGGGUGAGUAACACGUGGGAACGUGCCCUUUGGUUCGGAACAACUCAGGGAAACUUGAGCUAAUACCGAAUGUGCCCUUCGGGGAAAGAUUUAUCGCCAUUGGAGCGGCCCGCGUCUGAUUAGCUAGUUGGUGGGGUAAAGGCCCACCAAGGCGACGAUCAGUAGCUGGUCUGAGAGGAUGAUCAGCCACACUGGGACUGAGACACGGCCCAGACUCCUACGGGAGGCAGCAGUAGGGAAUCUUGCGCAAUGGGCGAAAGCCUGACGCAGCCAUGCCGCGUGAAUGAUGAAGGUCUUAGGAUUGUAAAAUUCUUUCAGCGGGACGAUAAUGACGGUACCCGCAGAAGAAGCCCCGGCUAACUUCGUGCCAGCAGCCGC
rnacentral:rRNA from 1 species